rnacentral:lncRNA from 1 species
AUCAUUUUGAUGACCUUCUUGUUUUCAGCUGAGCCCAAGUCAUGUCUGUGACUUUCCACUGCAAAUGACUCAGUCAAUCAACUCACUGUGAGCUAAUAAGUCAUAUACAGAACCUGGAGGCAGAAGAGGGAGGAGAGAUGAGGAGGAAAAGUGCAUGACAGCACUCCAGGUUGCUGUUUCUGACCACCGCACAGCACCACCCACUGUGAUCCUUCCUGUUACUUCUCCAGCCCCUGGUGAAGAGCUGCCUCCAACUUCCUGCGCUCACCUGCAAUACUACAGAAAGCAAGCAGAGCGCCUUAUAGAUGCACCAGAGAGUCUACGUCUACAAAGAACAAGGAGCUGAGAACCUACCAUAAAAAACUUACAUCAAAAGGAAUAUGUAUCUUGCUUCUUGGAAAGGGAAGUUUACUUUUCUGGGGCAGGGCUUAAGGAAGUGUCCCAGCAAGACACUUGCUGAUGACUGAGCUCCGGUCAACACUGCUAGGAAGUGUCUUGGGAGUGGUGGGAAA